rnacentral:lncRNA from 1 species
UUGGCGCUCGUUAAUGAGGUCGAGAUCAUCACGGCUAGUGAUCUUCCGCCGGAAUGGUUGCCGCAGGAGCCGGAAUGUAUUUCCUUCAUUACUUUCCUCGCCUUUUCUCCUUCCAGGCACGUCAGGAGUGGUCCGGAGAAUCUCCAUUUGUAGAUUUCCCCGUCCACUGUUACGUAGCGUGCAGCCUGUGUUCGAACCUUGCGAGCUGCCCUUUUUUCGGCGGGCUGUUGCCCGUUGACAAUGUAGUCUCGAAUCGUCUGAAGCCAUGGGGUAUCACAGCCGUAAUCAGAUUGCUCU